rnacentral:rRNA from 1 species
GAUGAACGCUAGCGGGAGGCCUAACACAUGCAAGCCGAGCGGUAGAGAUUCUUCGGAAUCUUGAGAGCGGCGUACGGGGGCGGAACACGUGUGCAACCUGCCUUUAUCAAGGGGAUAGCCUUUCGAAAGGAAGAUUAAUACCCUAUAAUAUAUGAUUCGGCAUCGGAUUAUAUUUAAAACUACGGUGGAUAAAGAUGGGCACGCGCAAGAUUAGCUAGUUGGUGAGGUAACGGCUAACCAAGGCGACGAUCUUUAGGAGGCCUGAGAGGGUGAUCCACCACAAUGGUACCGCGACACGGACCACAAUCCUACGGGACGCAGCAGUGAGGAAUAUUGGGCGCUGGGUGCAAGCCUGACACAGCCGCCCCGGGUGUAGGAAGCCGGCCCUAUGGGUUGUAAACUACUUUUAUCUGGGGAUAAUCCUACUUACGUGUAAGUAGCUGACGGUACCAGAUGAAUAAGCACCGGCUAACUCCGUG